rnacentral:rRNA from 1 species
GCAAGUCGAACGAACUCUGGUAUUGAUUGGUGCUUGCAUCAUGAUUUACAUUUCGAGUGAGUGGCGAACUGGUGAGUAACACGUGGGAAACCUGCCCAGAAGCGGGGGAUAACACCUGGAAACAGAUGCUAAUACCGCAUAACAACUUGGACCGCAUGGUCCGAGCUUGAAAGAUGGCUUCGGCUAUCACUUUUGGAUGGUCCCGCGGCGUAUUAGCUAGAUGGUGGGGUAACGGCUCACCAUGGCAAUGAUACGUAGCCGACCUGAGAGGGUAAUCGGCCACAUUGGGACUGAGACACGGCCCAAACUCCUACGGGAGGCAGCAGUAGGGAAUCUUCCACAAUGGACGAAAGUCUGAUGGAGCAACGCCGCGUGAGUGAAGAAGGGUUUCGGCUCGUAAAACUCUGUUGUUAAAGAAGAACAUAUCUGAGAGUAACUGUUCAGGUAUUGACGGUAUUUAACCAGAAAGCCACGGCUAACUACGUGCCAGCAGCCGCGGUAAUACGUAGGUGGCAAGCGUUGUCCGGAUUUAUUGGGCGUAAAGCGAGCGCAGGCGGUUUUUUAAGUCUGAUGUGAAAGCCUUCGGCUCAACCGAAGAAGUGCAUCGGAAACUGGGAAACUUGAGUGCAGAAGAGGACAGUGGAACUCCAUGUGUAGCGGUGAAAUGCGUAGAUAUAUGGAAGAACACCAGUGGCGAAGGCGGCUGUCUGGUCUGUAACUGACGCUGAGGCUCGAAAGUAUGGGUAGCAAACAGGAUUAGAUACCCUGGUAGUCCAUACCGUAAACGAUGAAUGCUAAGUGUUGGAGGGUUUCCGCCCUUCAGUGCUGCAGCUAACGCAUUAAGCAUUCCGCCUGGGGAGUACGGCCGCAAGGCUGAAACUCAAAGGAAUUGACGGGGGCCCGCACAAGCGGUGGAGCAUGUGGUUUAAUUCGAAGCUACGCGAAGAACCUUACCAGGUCUUGACAUACUAUGCAAAUCUAAGAGAUUAGACGUUCCCUUCGGGGACAUGGAUACAGGUGGUGCAUGGUUGUCGUCAGCUCGUGUCGUGAGAUGUUGGGUUAAGUCCCGCAACGAGCGCAACCCUUAUUAUCAGUUGCCAGCAUUAAGUUGGGCACUCUGGUGAGACUGCCGGUGACAAACCGGAGGAAGGUGGGGAUGACGUCAAAUCAUCAUGCCCCUUAUGACCUGGGCUACACACGUGCUACAAUGGAUGGUACAACGAGUUGCGAACUCGCGAGAGUAAGCUAAUCUCUUAAAGCCAUUCUCAGUUCGGAUUGUAGGCUGCAACUCGCCUACAUGAAGUCGGAAUCGCUAGUAAUCGCGGAUCAGCAUGCCGCGGUGAAUACGUUCCCGGGCCUUGUACACACCGCCCGUCACACCAUGAGAGUUUGUAACACCCAAAGUCGGUGGGGUAACCUUUUAGGAA